CGGGUGAGUAAUGCGUGACCAGCCUGCCCCAUGCUCCAGAAUAGCUCUUGGAAACGGGUGGUAAUGCUGGAUGCUCCAACUUGACGCAUGUCUUGUUGGGAAAGUGUUUAGUGGCAUGGGAUGGGGUCGCGUCCUAUCAGCUUGUAGGCGGGGUAAUGGCCCACCUAGGCUUCGACGGGUAGCCGGCCUGAGAGGGCGGACGGCCACAUUGGGACUGAGAUACGGCCCAGACUCCUACGGGAGGCAGCAGUA
rnacentral:rRNA from 1 species